CAGAUGGUGGAAUUGGUAGACACGUUGGACUUAAAAUCCAAUGGACAGUAAUGUCCGUGCGGGUUCAAGUCCCGCUCUG
rnacentral:tRNA from 1 species